ACUACUCGAGUGCAUUAUGUCACAUUAUAUUAUGAAGUGUACACGUAUUCAGGCAGAAACCAAGGAUUUAUGCAUUAACACACACAUACGCACGCACUGACUGCCUUAUCCUAAACUCGAAGGUGUUGCCCCUUUAAGGCAGCCUGGUGGUCAAGUCAUUUGUUUACUUUUCAGUGUGCAUCAUUAGUCAACCAGUUGCAAUGUUUUCACGUUUUAAGCCUUAAAAUGGAACCUUCCUCAACGAGAAACUUCCACCAAGAUGUCAAUAGAGACUGAGCAAACCCUACCAGACACACCAAGGCUCAUCAUGUUUGGAGAUAAACUUCUAACCUCAUCUAAGUGGAUGGUCAGCAUUGAGGGGAAAGUGACACAUUGCAUUGAAGUGAAGCUGGAUUUUACUGCAGCACUCUCUGCGCUUUUUGGUUGCUUUUAUGUUUUUAAUAUUGAGUACCAGGAGUCAGCCAGUGCCACACUUGAGCUUAUUCAAAGGUAAGUGAUAAAAAUCAGUAUGUCGAAUCAUGGUUUUAUUUAAGGAAUGUCUUUUUUGCCUAAAUGUAUUUGUUGUUGUACU